rnacentral:rRNA from 1 species
GAACGCUGGCGGCAGGCCUAACACAUGCAAGUCGAACGGUAGCACAGAGAGCUUGCUCUCGGGUGACGAGUGGCGGACGGGUGAGUAAUGUCUGGGAAACUGACUGAUGGAGGGGGAUAACUACUGGAAACGGUAGCUAAUACCGCAUAACGUCGCAAGACCAAAGAGGGGGACCUUCGGGCCUCUUGCCAUCAGAUGUGCCCAGAUGGGAUUAGCUAGUAGGUGGGGUAACGGCUCACCUAGGCGACGAUCCCUAGCUGGUCUGAGAGGAUGACCAGCCACACUGGAACUGAGACACGGUCCAGACUCCUACGGGAGGCAGCAGUGGGGAAUAUUGCACAAUGGGCGCAAGCCUGAUGCAGCCAUGCCGCGUGUAUGAAGAAGGCCUUCGGGUUGUAAAGUACUUUCAGCGGGGAGGAAGGUGUUGUGGUUAAUAACCGCAGCAAUUGACGUUACCCGCAGAAGAAGCACCGGCUAACUCCGUGCCAGCCGCUGC